rnacentral:rRNA from 1 species
CACGAACGCUGGCGGCAGGCUUAACACAUGCAAGUCGAGCGCCCCGCAAGGGGAGCGGCAGACGGGUGAGUAACGCGUGGGAAUCUACCCAUCUCUACGGAAUAACGCAUGGAAACGUGUGCUAAUACCGUAUACGUCCUUCGGGAGAAAGAUUUAUCGGAGAUGGAUGAGCCCGCGUUGGAUUAGCUAGUUGGUGGGGUAAAGGCCUACCAAGGCGACGAUCCAUAGCUGGUCGGAGAGGAUGAUCAGCCACACUGGGACUGAGACACGGCCCAGACUCCUACGGGAGGCAGCGGUGGGGAAUAUUGGACAAUGGGCGAAAGCCUGAUCCAGCCAUGCCGCGUGAGUGAUGAAGGCCCUAGGGUUGUAAAGCUCUUUCACCGGUGAAGAUAAUGACGGUAACCGGAGAAGAAGCCCCGGCUAACUUCGUGCCAGCCGCCGCGGUAACAC